AUCUCAGGUACAAGUGAAUAUUGUUGUGUGCGACCCUCAGAAUUAAUGGACAGUCAUCCAUAUUCAGCUUAUGAAGUAAUAAACUCUAUUGUUGUCUCCCUCAGAAUAUCACUGCUCAACCAUGAUUAUGGAGACGUUUCUGAAGAUCAGGAGUAGAGAUCACAAAACGAAAAACUUGGUGUCAGUAACAUGUCUUGAGGAGCUAAUCAGAGUUGCUGUGGGUCAUCGAAUUUGUCAGGAAGGCGACAUACAGGUGUAUUUAGUGGAUGAGUUAUCACUUCGCUGUAUGGUUGCUGGUGCUGAGAAAUGCCUCGAUGACAUUUUCAUUGUUAAAAAUGGACUAUGGAAACAAGAUCAGUCAACAUGUGUGAGUGCACCUUCACCAAUCCCACAAAUGCCUCUGCUCUCACGAAUUUAUUACCCUUGGGAGAGCCUCAGCAAGACAGUACUUGAUGCAUUGGAAGCAGACAAUGUUCUGCUUCCCUCUCAACGACAGGAAGUGGCACACAUGGCAGCGUCAUGGCCCUGCAUAUCCAUUGAAGGUGGGAGGCACUCCUGAUAUUUAUUCACAGGCACCUGGUUGGUAUCAUUGAGAACGAAGGGAGCCAGCAGGCAUAAAAAAAUCAAGAGGGCUACAUACAUAAAUGCGUGAGGCAGUGAGGGCAGCAGAUGAAUAUAGCAAGAAGUGGGAACAUCUCAUGUGAUACAUAGCGGUCAAAUGUUCCGCCACCAAAGUCAUGCACAAGUUAUUUGUAGUCUUUCCAGUAAUUUCCAAAAUAAAGGGUUAUUAUUGAAAAGCUAUCCUCUCUGGACACACAAAACAUGAGAAUUGAACAAUUAACAAUGAAACAAAAUCUCUGGACAUCUCGCAUUGAUCAUAAGGACUGUAAAGGAAAACAACAGGA